UCAGGGAUUGGACAAUGCUGAGGGCCAUACAGCCCCACAGCAUCCUUCAGGACUGGUUGAGGGCUUUGUUGGGCUUCCGCCACAGUUCAACUUCUUCCUCCUCCAGCCCUUUGCUCCUCACCUCCUACACAGAUGUGGGUCCUUAGGCAGAUCUCCUGAAACUUCCUACCAACACAUCUUCUCAGAAUCUAUUUCCUGGAAAACCUGACUUAGGACAUGUGGGUACAAAUCUUUCAGUUUUCACCUCACUGACAUUAUCCACAUUACUUUGCAAUUUAAUUUUAGUUACCCACCCACCACUCCUUUCCGUAUGGUCUUUUUGUUUUUCUCCUGUGCUGUCCUUGAUAUUUAAAGGCUCCCUCCUGUGGAUUUCUUUUCUCUGUCCUCACCAGUAUUAGGAUGUAUCUGCUUUUUACUCCAUUCUCUUUCUCCAUGAGCCAAAAUGCAGACUUGCAAAGACAAAGCAUGAGGUUUCUGUGAUCCAAGGCAUUUGAGAAAUUCUGAAUUCAACAAACAGAAGUUGUUACAGGAGUUCUCAGUUUAAAAUGUUUCCACAACAUACAAUUAAUCAUUUCAAAGUGUACAAUUUAAUGGCAUUUAGUACAUUUAUAAUGUUGUACAAACACCACCUCUAUCUUGUUCCACAUCUCUAAGAGGAAAUCCUGCACCCAUUUCACAGUUACCUCCCAUUACCCUUCCUUCCAGCUCCUCACAACCACCGAUCUGCUUUUUGUCUCUACAGAGGUACCUAGUCUGGAUAUUUCAAAUAAAUGUUAUUAUAUAGCAUAAUAUGUGGCCUUCUUUCUGUGUCUGACCUCUUUCAUUUAGUAUUGUGUUUAGAGGCCUAACCCCAUUACACAUGUAUCUGUACAUCAUUCCUUUUUUAUGGCCAACUAAUAUUCCUCUGUAAGGAUUUUCCAUUUGUUUAUCUGUUCAUCAGCUGAUGGACACAGGCAGUUUUCAUCUUUUGGUUAUUGUGAAUAGGAUUGAAUGGUGAAUAUUUGUGUACAAAUUUUUGUUUGAAUACCUAUUUUCAUUUCUUCUGGGUGUAUACCAUGGAGUGGACUUGAUACAUCAGGUAAAUGGUCAAUGCAUGUGAAUCUUUCAACCACAUAAUCAAAACAAAGAAUGGCAAAUCUCCAGGUACCAGAACUGAAGAGAGAUGUCAAAGGCUUGAGUUUCUUCUUGGGAAAUCUCCACCUCUGCAGGCGGCAGCUGCUAAUAGCAGAACUUGAUGAGUAAGAUGCCAGGAUCCCAUCUGGAAUUCACCAAACCCUCGCCCACCCUACUCACCAGGGUCUGAAUAUUCUUUAAUCCAGCAAAAUUAACUCAAGAGCAUGUGGGACCUGAAUUCUGUGCUCUGCAUGUUAUUGCAGGUGCUGAAGGCCAAACAAAGCACCUGCUUUUUGCAUUUGAGAUGCACUGAAACAAAGCUCUGUUCUGGGAGCUCCACCCGGACACAUCAAGCAGAAGGCGGAAAGUUUACAUCUGGGAAUCUCUCUC